rnacentral:lncRNA from 1 species
ACUGCUUAGGUUCCUUAGCCUUGUAUAAGUGCCCAAGACCUUCCCAAUGCAAAACCAAUGUGAGAUUAAAUAUAUGCUAGCAUGGGCUCUCACAUACUCCUAUUUAAGCCCUAGCAUCCUCGUCGCGCUAAAGGUAUAAGUUUAAUCACACAUCGAUCAAGUUUAGUUAUAAACACCACGAUCGACCUAUAGUCAGUCUCGAAAGAGCCCAUGUUGUAGUGUCCCCUAAUCUAUAUAAGCUAUGUGCCUAAUCCACUCUGAUACCAUUUUGACAACCUAAGAUCAUCCUAACUAAGAUGUUAUAUGUGUUCCUUCAAGGUCUGCGGAACUGUCCCAAAUCGCCUGUUUCGGGGUGUCCCGGGCUAUACCGGUAGCGGACCAGGAUGAUUUCGGCAUUGAAAUUGAGAUGCCGUCACCGGAGGGAGAGAAGGAGAAAAAAAGGAGGAAAAGAGAGAGAGAGCGGGGAAGGGAGGAAGAGGGAAGGAAGGAAGGGAGGCUAGCUGGGGAGCCUCCGCGCGGAGGAGGCGGAGGCCGAGGAGAUGCGGAGGCGGGGCUCUGCCUCUGAUCCCCUGUUUCGUUCGAAACAGGGGCCCAGAGGGGACCCCUUUUAUUUUUGCAUUUUUUAAGUUAAAGUCGGCAAACUUAAAAAAAUGCAAAAAUAAAAAGGCCCCCCUUCGGGCUCUUGUUUCGAACGAAACAGGAGACCGGGGGUGGAGCCCAACCUCCGUGUCUCCCCAGCCUCCGCCUCCUCGUGCAGAGGCUUCCCGGCCUUCGCCAGCCAGCCCCGGUGGCAUCUCUCUUCCUUCCUCUCUCUCUCCCUCCCUCGUCCGCUCUCUCUCUCUCUCUUUCUCUCUCGUUCUCCCUCUUCCCUAUUUCCUCUACUGUGUCAGUACGGGCCUAGCACGGCACGGUACGGCGUGGGCCCGUACCGAUUCAUCCCGCUAGACAACCGGUACAGUGCCUGGCACUGGUUCUGCCAACGUUGUGUUCCUUGGUCCUAUAUAAAUAUCCAAGAUUUGGAGAUUUAAUUAGUGAAUAGGCCAAUAUGGGUCUAAACGCAUGCUUGCAUGGGCUCUCAUAAAAUUAAGACAAGAAACCAUACAAAAGAGGAUAGUUACUGUUGAAAAUAACCACCAAUCUACAACAUAAGAAGAGGAAGAAGGCUUCAUUCGCUAUCUCACUCUACAUAUGGACAUUUGACUAUCUCAAUAUAGAUAAGGCUUUUAUGCCUUUCGUAUGUACCACGAUGAGCGUCGAGAGGAUUUUGCAUCCCUAACCUUAGUCCAAAGUACUCAAAUGUGAAGUCUUGUUCCACCUUGUAGAAGAUUGAGCAUUAAGAGGUUUCUGCAUCCUUGGCUCUUAUCAACAACUAAGUUCUCCUACACAAAAGCCAUUCCACCCUAGAGAAUCUAUCUUGUACUCAGUUACUUUUCUUUCAUGUAAUUAAUCUCUUAUUGUUUAGUUUAUUUACCUGUAGUUAUUCCUUACUUGUUUUCUUUCUUUGCAAUAUUCUCUUCUUAUUAGAAAUCUGAAAUCCUUUUACUAAAGCAUAUUGAACCCUAUCUCCUUAUCAAUCUAAUUCUACCAGUCAAUCUAAUUGAUCUAGCACACCGGCAUCUCCAUUGACCCCUAGUUGAUGUCGGGAAAUAUUUUUUGGUAUUCCCAGUGGGAUAUAAUAGGAUAGAAUGUCAAAGAAGAACAAAGGCAAUUAGCCAAGGUGAAACAUUCUAAGGGAAUGAUCAUAUGAGAAUGUUGAAGCUCUAACCAGAAGUGGCCAAAACUUCUCAACAAGGCCACUGAUUUGCCCAAUGGAGAACACAUAAUGCUAAAUUUGAAGGCCAUGAAAUGGCUAAUGUAUCACGUAGCAAGAUUCUCUUUCAUGAUUAAUUUAUAAUAUUAACUACUGCUGCUCUUCAAGAAGUGAUUUGGCAUUUAGUGAGAAUGAUACCGUGUAUAAUUAUCUAGUAAAAAAUAUUAGAAUUUAGCCAUUAGAAGAUUUAAGCAACUUCAAAUAAGAUACAAUGUAUUUUGGCUAGAUUAUCUCAAGCUACAGAAAUCUAUUGUUAGUCUGACAUAAGGUUAUUCACUUAUUGAUUGGUCUCACGUGAAUUGGAAAAAUGGAAAUGGUUGAUUGCUUGAAAUGGCCAAAUCAAUGGUCGUUACCAAAAUAUGCCCUAUAUGUAAAAACUCCUUGGGAUAAAUAUUCAAAAUAUAAGAUUGAUUCAUAUAAAUAUUGAUCGUAUGAAUAUAUCCUCUAAUCUUAAAUUUGGGGGCAUAUUCAUUCAGAGUUCGUUCACCUAAAGAUUGACCAUAAGACUUUAUGUCUAAUUCUAAACAUGGGACUAGGAGACAUAUUCAUUCAGAUCAUAUGGUCAAUUCACCUAAAGAUUGAACAUAUGAUUAUAUGUUCACUAAUCGUAAACACGGAGGGUAAAGAUUGAAUUACCAAAAAAUUGAUUCUAUGGAUAUGUGUCCUCCAAUCCUGAAAAAUGGGGAUUAUAGUUAUUUAAAUGAUAUUGUUAGUUUAAUCAAAACUCAACCAUAUAGGAGUGAACAAAUUUAUUGCAAGAUCAAAAAUUAUCUAAAGAUCUUGAACAACACCUAGAAAAAGUUAAUCCUCAAGCAGCAAAAAUAAUUCAGGAGUAUUGGUUGAAUUUAAUUGAAAGAACCAAUCAACCAAAUGCAAAAGUGAAAAAAAAAACCAAUAACAAUUGAUUGAUCAAGUCCUGGAAAGGCCAUUUGACUAAUAAUGGAUGAUCAAGGCCUCGAAAGGCUAAUCAACCAAGGCCUAGAAAGGCAAAUGGACCACUAAAGACUAAUUGAUCAAGACCUAGAAAGGACAAUCAAUCAAUAAUGGCUGAUCAACCAAGGCCUAGAAAAGCCAAUUGAUCAAGAGAGAUUGAUCAAACAAAGCCAAAGAAGGCUAAUCAACCAAAAAUCGUCAAUUGACCAUGGAAUACUAGUCAGCCAAAACAUUUCUUCCUGUUGACCAAUAAUAAUAGCAUGGAUCAUGAUGAUCGAUCAUGUACCAUCACUAUUUUUUCUAUUAUUCAUCAUCUUACAUGGUUAUUAGGAGCGCAUUUAUUAAAGGUAUGUGGUUGGUAACCAUAAAGCUUUUUCUUUGUUCACUCAGCAAAAUAUAUUGUUUUCUUGUUGACCAACACCAUGGUCGAUAGAUAUAGAGAUAAUUGAUUGAUCUUCAGUAGUGGCUUAUUACCAUGCUUGACUUAUGAUAUAUUAUAUUUAAUCAAUCAUAUAUCAGCUUAUGCAUAUUUGACUCAAUAAAAAUAUCAUUUUCAUUAGCCACGAGGAGAAAUGUUUACACUCAAAACUUAAUUGGUCAUUGACCAACUAUAGAAAAUGGUCAAAAACAUUAGAUCGAUCAAGAUUUGAUAGUUAAUUUAUGCAUGACACUUGGAAGGGCUAUGUUCGGCCACUUGUCAUUGAUACAAGAGGCUACAUGCUAGUUUUUCUGGAAUUAACUUUCUAAAGAAAGUUAUUUGGACAAGGAGAAGUUAGUCAUGCAAAGAACCGCUAGCAACCACCAAGGAGGGAGUUACCAAGAGAAGAAACCAAACAAAAAGGGUACUUAUUGUUGAAAAUAAGUACCAAUCUGCAAUAUAAGAAGAUGAAAAAAGCUUCGUUCCCUAUCUCUUACCCUCUGCACAAACUCAUGGGCUAUUGAUGACAACACUAAAAUGAAUGAGGCUUCUAUGCCUCUCUUGUGUACCAUGGCGCGCAUCGAAAGGAUCCUGCAUCACUGACCUUGGUCCAAAGUUCUCCAACAUGAGGUCUCAUUCCGCGUUGGAAGAGAUCAACUGAGUGUCGAGAGGAUUCUGUAUCCUUGAUCCUUACUGGUUUAUCCAGUUCUCCGAUGUGACGAUUGUUCUAUCCCGGAGAAUAUCUAUCUUUUACCUAGUUAUUGUAUUUUCAUGUAAUCAAUCUUUUAUUGGUCGGUUUCUCUGCCUGUGAGUUAUUAUUGCCCUUAUUGCUUUCUUUCUAUACAUGUUCUCACCUUAUUAGAAAUUUUCAGUCCUUUCACUAAGAUCGAACCCUGUCUUCUGAUGGACCUAAUCCUACUGAUAGACCUAAUGGAUCUGGCACGGCAGCAUCCCUGUCAACCACUAGUUUAUGCUUUUCAGAAAACAGGUUCAUAGGCUAAUAGAGGUAGAAAGAAGUUUAUUAAUUUGCAAUAAAGAAUGUGAUUUAGCUAAUAAGAAGUGUGCUGACUUUUAUUGAUAUAUAUGAUAUGGUUCUUUGAAAGGUAUUAAGGACAUAGCUAAGAUGAGGGUGAGGAAACCUUGAAAUAGAAAUCAUAUUGGCUGGAUUUACAAUAGAGGUAAUAAACUGUUAGAGGAAUGUGGUGAAAUUAAGCCAUUAAGGAAGAUGGAAGGGUAUUCCUGAACAUUACUAAAAGAGCACUUCCUAAAGGAGCACAUAUUUAGGAAAAUCACAAAGAACAGUAAAGAUAAUAAGGCUUUUAUAAGAAAAUGGAACAGUGAGGCAUACAGAUUAUGGUAUUAUGAAGAAAAGGAGAGAUAGGUUUGUUAUAUAUGACAGACAUAUUCAGUGAGUUUUUAAGUUAGUAAAUUCCAAAUUGCUGGAGAAGUUGAGAAACUUGAUUACAAGAAAAAAGAGGACUGUGUAAAAUUUUAACAACCAUCCUGGAAUUAAGCUUAUAAACCACAUAAUGAAGGUAUAAAUUGAUAGCAUUUUGAAAGAGCAACAUUGAAAGUUUUAUGUUAAGGCUAUUGUCUUGCACACGCAUCUGGUGGAAUAUUAAAAUGAAGUGAUUAAAUUUUUCCUUUUUUUUGUUUGGUUAAUGUGAAAAAAGUAUAUGGUACAAUAUUGCUUGUGUUUAACUGUGAGCAUUCAAAGUAAUGCUAGAAUUUCAUUUGUAUGCAAGAAUUUCAUUUAUGUGGCAUUAAAGACAUGCUUUAACACAAUGUGGCAAGGUUGGUGCUAGUUUCUAGUUGUAUCUACCUUACGGAUUUAGCAUCCCUCUUUGAUUUGCAAUACUUGUGACGUAUGAUUGAAUAACAAGUUCUAGUUGUUUUUCCCACCAAAGCAUGUAUAACCUGGAAGCUAGUUUGAAAAUUAGAUUUUAUUAAGUUUAAAAAAGUUGGUUAUGUAAAAAUGUCUACAUCUUCAGGGAAGAUGAUACAUGUUGUGGUUAAUGGUAUAAGCCAACAGAAAAACCACUAAAAAUAUAAUUUCCAGUUGCUCAUGCGUUUCGCAUGUAUUUCUUGCUUCUUUUUAAUAAAAAAAAUCCUGCAUAUUGAUUUUAAUUUUAUCACAUGUUUCUUACUUUUGUUUCGCAAGUUGCCUUGUGCAGCCAUGUCUUUAAGAUCAGAACAAGGAACAAAUUGAAGAAAUGUAUGACAGAUUCUUUUUUUUGGGGAGAAAUUUGGUGGGGACGCGACAACUAGGGUUCGAAUCUUGGAGCUCUCCUGAGUGGAGAGGAUUGUCAACCAGCUGAUCUAAUUCUGGUUGGCUGAAAUGUAUGAUAUGUUGAACAUAAAAUUACUUGACCUAAUAAGAUUUUGGGUCUAAUUUGUAUGUAAAUAUGAAUAUUAUAACUACUGUCUGUCAAUAUAUGUCAUAUCUUUCAUUGAUUGCAACAUUUUGCAUUUAUGCAUCUUCUGAAACACCUCUCUGGCAAUAUUACUAAUAAAACUCUUAUUGAAAUCCAUCACUUGCUAGAUCUAUCAAGUCAUCUUUCUGGUCACUGGGUGAUCUAUCCUCAUAUCCUCGUAUUGAACUAACAACAUUGAUUAUUAAUUGAUUAGAAUUCCUUGAUGUCUGUUAUCUCUAAUAACACACUACUCUCCCCGAUCAGGGACCAUGCUUAUCCAAGGCCAGUAGCUAUGGCGAUGGCUCAGAUUCUGAUGGCUAUUGGACACUUCUUAUUUGCCAUGGCCUGGCCUGGAACAAUGUACAUUGGAACAUUGCUGAUUGGACUUGGAUAUGGAGCUCAUUGGGCCAUUGUGCCAGCUGCUGCCUCUGAGCUAUUUGGCUUGAAAAACUUUGGAGCCUUGUACAAUUUUCUCACUGUGGCCAAUCCUGCAGGUUCACUGAUCUUCUCAGGUCUAAUUGCUAGUGGUAUAUAUGACUACGAAGCAGAAAAGCAAGCACACAUGCAUAAUAGUUCAACAUCUUUGCUUCAGAGUUUACAUCAUGAUGCAAGUUUCCAGGUGGAGGAGCCGCUAAAAUGCAAGGGGGCCAUUUGCUUUUUUUUCAGCUCCUUAAUUAUGUCAGGAUUGUGCGUCAUUGCAGUUAUCUUGAGCCUAAUUCUUGUUUAUAGGACCAAGAUUGUCUAUGCCAAUCUAUAUGGACGUACUCGCACAUGAAGUUUUCUUUCAGGAAGAAUAUAGUCUGUACUUAAGAUGCCUUUUUUUUCUUCUCAGUACCAUCAAGCGUCAAAUUAUCCGAUUCAGAAUCCUGAUUGGUGUUGCAUCCACAUUGCAAUGUCAGAGCCAGUUUCUCCCUUAUCAUCUAUAGCUCUCAGGCAGCAGAAUUUGCUGGAAAAUGGAGAUUAAUGAAGCCUACAUAAUGUUUUUUGUUUGUUCUGUAAAAUUGUCAUUUUAUUUGUGCAGGCAUGAGAUGUCAUGCUAUCAUUGUAUAUUAUCUUCCGGAGCUUUGUUUUUUUUUGUUUAUUAUGUAUUGUAAUUUGUAGUGUCAUUAGUAUCCAUUGUUUUAUGACAUGGAAUUUGGUUGGCUUCAAAAUUGGCAUCUGCUAAUAUGUAAUGGAAAAAGGUUUUGAGGCUAGCCUCAUGGGGCUGGCCCCAAAUCUUGAAGCAAGGCACCAUCACAAUUAAAACAUCAAAGUCCCCAUCUCUCUGCACUUCCAACAUAUUAAUUUUUCCAGGCACUACCAUACAGAACAGGAGAGAUUAAAACAAACCAUAGUUCCAUGCCCGGGCUCUGCCGGUUGGAAAAAGAAAGAUCUUGUGCAUUGCACAUUCAGGACUCUAGUUUUGACGAGUAAUCAUGUGCAGGACUCUAGUUUUGAUAAGUAAUCUGGUUGCAUUUUGUUCAAAGUCUUUUCUUUUAUUGACAGUUUUCCUCUGUUCUUUUGCCCAUUUCCCUCUUUCUUUUUGUACUACAAUAGGCAAAUUUCUCUAUGCUGGUUUUGGAGAGGAUUAAUAGUCUAGCAGCAGCACUUCUUCUCCAUGGACAAAUUAAGAUGCACUUCUUCUCUAUGGAUUAAUUAAGAUGGUUUUCUUUAAUGUACAUUAUUUUCCUUUUUAUGUUUGACUGCUUCUACAAGGAGAACUAAGCUUGCAGCCAACUUACAGAGUCUUAUCUUGUAACUAUAGUUUUUCUUAAAUUUCCUUUGCAUUCUUGGAAUACAUAAUUGCAUUGCAGGUACUUAGUAGGCUCCUAUUAUGUUCUUAGUUUUCUUCUCCAGCCUAAAUGGUUUUGAUCUAUUCUGUGCCAAUUCCAAUACCAUAUAUACUUGACAGGUUUAACACUGCAUCUGAGGCCAUAAACUUGGAUGUCUCAAAACAAGUUAGUUUGUGUGUGGCACUUUGACACCAGGAGCAAAAUGGAAGUAUGAUAGUUGUGUAUGGACUUGCAAUGGAGACCAUCCCUUACCGACGAGAUUUCAUAGGUUUUCAGCUCACACAUUCUGGAUGGAUAAUUCAGUGGUAACUUCUCAUGAACAUCUAGGUUCAGCUAAGCUUCAAUUCUGAAAUAAAAGAUGAAAAGAUCAUUCCUUGAUGCAAGAAAAAAUUCAUGGACAAAGAGACUUCUAUUUUUUUGAGAUAGUACAAAAGGGCUUUUGUUCAACAACUAGCUAGUUUAUCCACUGUUGAAAUGACACAGAAUUGUUGGCAAGUCAGCCACUACAGUAAGCCUAGCUGCUGAUCUAUUUCUUGGAGUCUUCUCACAUUGUGAAAUCAAAAUCAGUUAUUAAAAGCAAUGCUUCAAACUGAAGCUGUAUGGUUACCAAGCAGUACUAUCAGUUCUUCCUAACCAUGCUGACUCCAAGCAUGCAACUAGUGUCUUGUAUCCUGACUUUAAAUCCAAUUAAGAUAGCACUUCUGAAUGCAUUAUAUGAGCAAGUUUCUUGAAUUUUGUCAACUUAGAGAUAUUGAUGGUUCAGUGGGGGAUUCUAUCUAUGUUCAAAAAAGCUCUGUUUUAUUCCCUCUAUAUUAUACAGAAGAAUUAAUGUAACAAAGGAAUGGUAAUUAAAUAUAGUCAGCCUCACAAGAAAGUACAAGUAAUUUGGUAUUAUCAUACAAACUCAAAAAUAUUUGACACUGAAUAAGGAAGUUUUCCUUCACCAACACAUACUAGCAUAUAUAUAUAUAUAUAUAUAUAUAUAUAUANNNNNNNNNNNNNNNNNNNNUAUAUAUAUAUAUAUAUAUAUAUAUAUAUAUAUAUAUAUAUAUAUAUAUGAAUUAUGUGUAGUCUAGUGAAGGGAAACAAUACCCUGGUAAGAAUAAUAAGAACAAUAAUUUUUUUAAAGAUUAUUAUUAAAGUAUGAAAAAUGAUGUAGAGGGCCCUAAAAGCAAGCAAAUGGGUGGGCCCACAAGUAAGAAAACUCCAUGCUCAGGGGUUAUGGAAUCUAAUGGGUGGCUCCAGUGCUCUCUCCCCUAGACCCAAUGUCCAAGUUAAUCUAACUUCAAAGGGUGGAGCCUCUAACCUUUCACCCUAGUUGAUCUAACCACCAGGGUAACCCUUUACCCUAACUUGGAUGCAACUUAACCCAACACUCUGCAAGGGCUAAAAGUCCUAAAGUUUCAAAGCCUCCCUUAUUUGUGGGUCCCACAUGGGGUAUUUAUUAGCAUGGAAAUCCUUCACAUGUGCUGUCCUGUUGACCUAUGUAUUCUAGUAAAAUAUCAAAAAGAAAAAUUAGGGAUUCUUCUCUAUUACUUAUAAACAGAGAUCAAAUGUUAUUUAAUAUUACAUUCAGAUUUAUAGUAAUACUCAUAUCAAAUAAUAAGCAUUUUAUUUGAUACUUUCUUAGUUGGAAUUAUAAAUUGCUACAAAAUGACCAAAAUGGCAAACCACCCCUUGGGUUAGGAGUUAACCCUUUCUUUCAUCUUACAUGAAUAAAGGUAGGUUAGGGUUAAGGGAAAUUUUUUUUAAAAAAAUAGCAGGUUGGGACCUUUUUCUUUAUUUUUCUUUCUUUUUCCUCCAUAGGUAUUUGGUAUUUGGGAAUUUUUGUUUUGAGGUCUGAGGGGGGGUUUGACUAAUGGUGUUCAAUUUCCCCCCCCAAUUUUAACAUUUUGGUGGGAAAAAAUUGGAGUUUGAGGGCUUCUCAUGCGGCGUCGCGAUUCAAAUUCCUCCAUCUACGUGGAUUCUAGCCGAAUGGGUAAUCGCUCCUUCCCUUAGAUUUCGUUCGCCCUAUCUCCUGAAUCUUUUUGUACCACCGGCUGUGGUCUCUGGGCGGAGAUCGGGCCAUCUAGGGGUUUUAGGUUUUGAGCUAAAUAGAUCGGAAUUUUCCGAGCCAUCGUCUUUUAAUUGCUUUUCAAGACCAGUGAUAUUUGUGAAGUGAUCGAAUCUUAGUUUUCUGUGGACUUCUCGGUGUUGUUUGUGCUAUUUAUUUGCUGUCAUGUAGGGUUUCGGUUUUCCAACGGCAUGGUGCUUUGGAGAUCCGAGAUCCUUGGAGAAUUAUGGAUUUUGGGACUUAAGAAGGGUGAGAAAAAUUUGGGUCUCUCUGUUUGUUAGUUUUACGAAAUGGAAAGUUACAUUUUUUUAUCAUUUUUUAAGCUUUGAUGUUCUUGUGAAAUGUGAUCUCACUGUUGCUUAAUUGACUCUUUUAUUUGGUCUUCUUGAUUGAUAGAUAUGUCAGCUUCUGAUUUGAAAACAAUCCACCAUCAGGGUUUGAGAAUUACUGGUCUUCUGAUUUUAGAUUAGGGAUUGAUGGGUGAGGAGAGGAACUGAAUGGUUGAUAUUUAUGUGUUUUUACUUGUUUUCAUUUGCAUUGUGCGCUUUAUAUGUCGUGUUUGCAAUAAGUCAUAGAAGCUGAAAUGAUGGAUUUUGAAGUUUUUCUUUUAAUCUGUUUUUGUAUUCACUGCACUUCAUAUUCUGUGCUUAUGGUAAGUUUUUGAAAGGCCGAGUGAUGAGUCCAAUGAGCUUUUACUUUGUUGGGUGCACAUCUUGCUUUAUAUGUCGUUCUUGUAAUAAGUUUCUGAGAAUCUUAAUAAAUGAUCUUCAUAUUUUUGUUUGCUUCUUGUAUGUAUUACACUUAUAUUUUUGUUCUUGUAGUAAGUAUUUGAGAAGUCAAAUGCUUAAUCUUGAUGUGUUUCUGUUUGUUUCAGUACAAGUACACUUUGUAUUUUGUGCUUGUAAUAAGUUUUGAAACCUGAAUGAUACUCUGCAUGCUUUACGUGCUUUACAUUACAAUUUACAUUUUGUGCAUGUACUUUGUUUUAGAGAAGCUGAACAAUUGAUCUUAAUAUGUUCUUACUCGUUUUGGCACUUUGCACUUUGCACUUUGUAAUUGCAUUAACUUUUCUUUUGGGUUUUGUGUUGUUUUGCUGUUUAGGAUAUGGGAGAAUUUACUAGGAUCAAUUGGUUUCAAGCAUUGAAGAAUUUAUUGUUUCAGUUAGUAGAAGUGUAGAUUGUGCUGUUGUUUGUCUUGAAUGGGGAGUUUAUACACGGGAAGACCAUUUGUGUGAGGAUAGAAGGCAGAUAAUGGAAUGCAAUAGGGAUGAGGCCCUUAGGGCAAAAGAAAUCGCUGAAAGGAAGUUCAGUGCCAAGGACAUUGUGGGUGCUAAGAAGUUUGCCCUGAAGGCCCAAAAUCUCUUUCCAUCACUUGAAGGUAUCAACCAGAUGAUAGCAACUUUUGAUGUUUAUCUCGCAACACAAGUGAAAGUAAAUGGAGAAAGCGAUUGGUAUGCAAUUCUCUGUGUGAAUGCUUCAGCCGAUGAAGAGACUGUGAAGAAACAGUACAGGAAACUAGCUCUCCAGCUUCACCCUGAUAAAAACAAGUCAAUAGGUGCUGAAGGUGCUUUCAAGCUUAUUUCUGAAGCAUGGAGUGUUUUGUCUGAUAAGAGUAGAAAAAUUAUGUAUGAUGAGAAGAGGAAUGGAAAAGGAUUCCAGCAGAAAAUUUCUCAACCAAACAGAGAUCAUUCUGUUCCUAAUUCUUCCAAUGGUUUCUACAGUUUUGCCCAGAACACAACAUCCAGUAAAAGAGCUCGGAAGAGUACCAGUGGUGUGGCUCAAUCUGCUGUCCCCCCUCCAUCUCAUCCAUCAAAACUCGAUACAUUUUGGACCUCAUGCAACCGAUGCAGGAUGCAGUAUGAGUACCUGAGAGUGUACCUCAAUCACAACCUUCUAUGUCCCAAAUGCCAUCAGGCCUUCUUGGCUGUUGAGAUCAGUGUUCCAACUAAUGCACCUAAUUCUUCUGUUUCUUAUUCAACUAAGCGGCACCAACAGAAUUCAAAUCAUAGUUCUACAAUGAAGAAUGCUUAUGGUCAUGAGAAUAACUCUGCUUUUCCAGCAACAGGACACACAGGAUUCCAGUAUGGAGCAAAUGUUGACUCCUAUAGCAAUUCAAACUUCCAAUGGGGUUCAUUUUCUAGUUCAGCUGGUGUUGCUAGCUCAACAGAUUCUGCUGCUCGGGCUGCAGAUAUGAUUCAUCAGACAUUUGAGAAAAUAAGAAGAAAAUAUGAAGAAACACAAGCAACAAUUAGAUGGGAAGAGGUUCCUCGGAAUAAGAAUUAUGUCUCAAAUAAUACUCUUGGUGGUUCUGGAAGUUAUAAUGCUAGUGCAAGUGGCAAUGCAUAUGAACAGGAACGACCUACUUCUAAGGUUGGGAAACCUGCAAAGAGAAGAAGAAAUAAUGGUGGGGACGCUGGUGUGGAUCGUGGCAGAGAUGGAACAGAAAAAAUGGCGACAGCGACUGGAAAAACUGGUGCUUCUGAACUGGAAAGGGCUAAUGGUGUUUACGGGGAUUUUGGUAAGGCCAGAGUGACUGGUAGGCAGAACAAUUUAAGCAGGGUGCAAGUUGACAUUAGGAGUAUACUGAUGGAGAAGGUUAAAGUGGCAAUCCAUAAGAAGUUGGAAGAAUGGAACUUGGAUUCUGCAACCAAAUUGACAGAGAAGGACAUGUCAAAGCAGAAACAAAACCAAAAGGCCAGUGAAAAUGUAGCAGAUACGGUUGUUGGGGAUGCUGCCGAUCAGAACCAGUUAAAUCACUCCGGAAUUGGCAAAAAACAAAUUCCUGGUAUCAAGGAUUCCCCUAAUGACCGUAGUGUAGAUUCUGAUAAGAAAGUUACCAAACCUAUAUCAAUUGAUGUUCCUGAUCCUGAUUUCAAUGAUUUUGACAGGGAUCGUACAGAAAGUUCUUUUGAAGGUGAUCAGGUAUGGGCGACUUAUGAUAAUGAAGAUGGUAUGCCCCGUCUAUAUGCCCUGGUUCAAAAAGUCAUCUCACUAAAGCCUUUUAAGAUUCGCAUGAGUUUUCUCAAUUCAAAGUCCAAUAGUGAAUUGGGUCCGUUAAACUGGGUUGCCGCUGGUUUUUCCAAGACAUGUGGAGAUUUUAGGGUGGGGAGAUAUGAAGUCAGUGAUACAGUCAAUAUAUUUUCUCACAGAGUUAGGUGGGAGAAAGGUUCUCGAGGUGUUAUUAGAAUUAUUCCUAGAAAAGGUGAUAUCUGGGCACUUUACAGAAACUGGUCUCCUGACUGGAAUGAGCGCACACCUGAUGAUGUUAUAUACAAGUAUGAGAUGGUGGAAGUACUUGAUGACUAUAAUGAGGAGCAAGGUGUGUCAGUCACCCCCUUACUGAAAGUAGCUGGUUUCAAAACAGUAUUCCAUCGACAUCUAGACCCGAAAGAGGUUAGAAGGAUCCCCCGAGAAGAGAUGUUUCGUUUUUCCCAUCAGGUUCCUUCUUAUUUGCUUACAGGUGAAGAAGCUCAUAAUGCUCCAAAAGGUUGCCAUGAACUAGACCCAGCAGCUACUCCUUUUGAACUUCUUCAAGUAAUUACAGAAGUUAAGGAAGAUGCGGUGAUGGAGACUGCUGAAUGACAGACAUUUAGUUGAUUGUGGAGUCUUUAGGUACAUUUGUUGACUUUCUAAUGUCAAACAUAGUGGACUUGUCCCAGUAUCCAACAUUCAUUGGGCUCCUAAUUUCUAUCAUGUCAUGUUUUUUCUCUUUUGGCUGAGGACUUGGAUUAAGAUGCCAGGGUGAACUUCUUGUCAUCAUUGGGCAUCUCUUAACCCCAAUCUUCUCUCAAAAAGGAGAUUAUUUGGAUGAGAUUCUCAGGCAUUGGUUUGCGGACUUGAUGCCAUAGCCUCAUUAUGGUGUUUCCACCUUUCUAUGAUUCCCAAGGUGAAUGCCUUUUUAAGUACUCGUUCCAGCUACUCGAUUUGCCAACACAGAUAAAAUUCCAGAUGUAUCCCUACCUUGUGUGUUCAUUUACUUGUUCUUAUGUAUUUCUUGGAGGCAUAUGCCAUCAUUUUCUAAUAUGUUUGAACUUCAUGAUUCCGAUUAAAGGCUGAAAGCUCAUUCAGAUUUUAUGAUAAUAUCAAGUCACUAUUCCCAGUGGUGCUUUUAUUGUGCUCAUGUUCUUUGUCUUACACGGAGCCUAAUAUGUGAAGGAUUACAUCUGUUGGCAUUUUUAGUUACAACUAUGGUUUUAAUUCAGUUUCAUAACUUGGUAUGCAGAUAUAUAUAUUGAUCAUUAUUGUCAUUAUUUGUCAGUUAUUGUCAACAGGACCAUUGACUGGUAUAUUUUCAAGUCAGAAGACUCGAAAGACUGAUUUCAUGCAUCGUUUAUGUUAUAUUUUUUAUGCCACUUGUAUGUGUUCCAAUCUUCAUAUCUUUUGACACGUAUUCUUAGUUUUCCCUUUGUCAAUCAUAUCAAGUAUUUGUGUUUGUCCAGAGCAUCACAAGUGUAUUUACUCCAACAUAUAUAGAGUUUCCUGAAAAUCUAAUCCAAUUUGUACAUCAUUUUAGCAACUUGGUCAGCAAGUUGUAUUUGGGUUGGUUUUUACAAUAUUAGAGGUCUAUUUUUGUAAAGAAUUACUUUACUGGCCACCAACAAAGAACAACCAAUUUUGUUCUUGCAUAUUGUGCGCUUGAUUUGCAUAAGUGGAAUCCUUUGUUACCGAUGUUAAAUUCUCCUACUCCUCUUGAAUUGGCAUAUUGCUUGUAUUUUUCCUUAUGAUUGUUACACUUCCGGAGCAGAAGACCAUUAUAAUUGCUGUUCUUUCUCUUGUGCUAUGAGAUACACUUAGCAGUAAGUUUUUGGCCUUUUUUCUUUUUAUGGUUAUAUAGACUAUGCAAGUGAACUGUUAUGCCUUGCUUUUCUGGGGUUUCUUCUAUGGGACUGAACUUACAGGAGGAAUGCUUGAAUGGAGCUUAUAUGUUUGUCCUUUGUUCACCUGCUAGUGGACUGACUAGUUGGUAGAGGCGUGUUUAUUGAGUGACAUAAUUAUAAUAUGACAAUGCUUUUGGACAUUGUGCUUCAUGAAUCCAUGAGACCAUGUCCAUGUCCAUUUCUCACAUGCAUAAGCCACUGGAAUUAGCUCAAAUAUGUAAUACCUAACUAUGGCUGUGGUAGAGCAUGUCAUGAAAUUAUCAUGGAUGUCAAAUCAUAAUUCCUGGUAUUUCUGCAAUUUCGGCUGGGGUUGGGGUGGUGCAUGUGUUUCUAUCUGCGAAGCACAUACUCAUUAUGCUUGGUUGUGCAGAAUGGUAGUCACAUUGUUCUGUGUUUCUCUAUUGAGUGGGCUUGGCAUGCUGAGGCUUAGCAUGCUAAACAUGGACUUUCAGUAGAAAAUUAAUUUUGGUUCCAUGUAUGCUCCAGUUUGGAAGAUGGAACUGUAAUAGUUUCAUUUCUCGUUCGUUUUAGGUUCAGUCUUUGGAGAAACUUUCGUGUUACUGUCCAUUGCAAGCGAGGUCCUUUGACAUGAUUCUUGCGAACACAUUCCAUGUCUGUCAGUGUGUGCUUGAUUGGCUUAUUGGGAUAUUUUUUUGCUUGCAGACUGACAAGUAGUUGAUCAUUUGAACAUGGGCUUAAGAUGCUCAACUGUCAAAAAUUUAGGCUUCAGAUGCUUAGCUUCGAAAGAUUGACUGUAGUUGUAUGUUACAGUGCCACCCAUUAUUUAAUUUUAUGGACUUGAAAAUGUGGGCACGUAUGGAGAACAGAUUGUUUUCUUUGCAGACCUCAAAUUUAAAGACCUCUCUACUGAUCCAUUGUUAGGCCCUGCGUUUUCUGACUUGUUACUCUUAAAUUAUCUAUCCAGAUUAUAUAAUCUACCCUCAUGUUCCCUGAUUAUUGAUUGGAAGAGUAGUUAAUAUGGUUGUCCUGUAGUUCGUACUUAUCUUUUCCUUCUAUUAGUUUAUUCUGUUCAGGCAAACUGUAACUAGUACAGCACCUUUGCAAACUUGGACUUUCAGCCUGGGAACUGAAUCAGAGGGGCUGGCAUUUAUAGUAUGUUCUAUGAUAAGUUGAAGAUAACACUUUGUUUGGAAUAUAUUCUGAGGUGGAGCAUGAUAAAGAUUUAAUUAUGAUGCACCCAAUUGUCAUAAAGGCAAGUUCUUGCUGCUCGUUGGUUACUUCAGACAGCUAGCAACUGCCUGAAAAUGGAAUGGAGUGCCUGUCUUUAAACCCACUUAGCUAUCUACCCAUCAGUUCUUGAAAAGCUUGGAGUGCUGCAAGCUAGGUUUUUUGGGUCAUGCAGUGCCUUUAGUAAUUUUAGUGUCGUCCUGAUAACUUGGGAAAAGAUUUCUUUGGAAAGUGCGAGCUCACCAAGCUGGUAAAGUUUGGUGGUUGGACCAUGGAUGGGUUGAUAUGCUGCACUCACCAAAGGCUGGAGGGUUAAGGGUAGCCAAUUGCUUAUGGAUCACUUUUAUUAAGAUCAUCAUAUCAAAAGUUAAGAUUUUUAUUUGUCUUUGGGAUCUGCAACUGAUGAAUAUAGAAAACUUUUCUGUGUCUUAUUCUUUUCUAUUUCUGGAAUAGCACAAGUUAUAUUUUAGAGUAUUCAGUGUAAAACCCUUCUCAGAGACUGCGGGGAUGAUAAAUGGUGAAGCAAUUUCACUUUCCAAUAACAUACUGGCUUCAGCAUGACUAUUAUUAGUGAUCUGUUAGUAAUUCAAGCACUUCCAGAUUUAAGGCAUGAUGAUCACAUUUAGAAACAGGUUAGUAGGAUCCUGGACUGCAUGUCAAAGAGCUUGUGUUACAUGGCCUGAGUGCUUUGUCAGUGGUUAUACUCCUCCGAGACUCCUCCAUAGUAGUUGUAUAUAUGGGUGGAACUCCCUCCUGUUACUAAACAAAAUAAAAAGAAGGAAAAAGGAAGAGCAAAAGGAAAAAAGUGGUUGUUUUACUGUAAACUAUCCAGUUCUGUUUGAUGGUCAGAUUGCACAGUUUGAAUGUUGAGGCAUUAUGAUCCAAUUUGUGACUUUACGUCAUUGAAGCAUCGGGAGUGCCAAUAUGCAAACAAUAACGGGUUAGUUCCAUUUGCCGGCCAAUUGAAGUGUAGUUUCCACUUUGCUACAGCGUGGAAUCAUUAGAAUUGGACGAGACCAAAGGCCAAGAUUGGAGAAUUCAGCCAUGCUGUUACCUUCAAAACCUCAGGUCCGAGGUGAUUUAAUAUCCGAACAGGUUUGCUCAUGAGUACUACUUGGUGCUUAGCUCGGGGUAGAAGGUUUUAAGCCUUGUCAUGUGUGCCUGGAAUUUUUCUGUAUGGUUGCAAAUGGACCAAAGAUGGUACACAAGAUCAAGAUGUAUGAUGUAUGCCUAGAGGCUCGAUCGAAGAGAUGAUGAAGCUAAGUGCUUGAUGCCAAGUCAAGGAGGCAAUGGAGAACAGGAAAAUGGCCAACUAUUCAAAUCAAGCAGGUCCAUUCUGGGGACAUCAAAGUAGAGCUGUCUGCGAGACCAAAGCCAGACUACUCUUUUUAGAAUUGAGGGGGUCUGGAGUGGGCUUUCUUUGUGACUAGUCUUUUGAGGCAAUCUAUUUGUAAUUAGUCACACAAAGCUGAUUGCCUUCAGGUCUCACAUUGUAUUCUAUUCAGUGGCAUAAAUUGGAGGUGAUUUCUUAGGUGAAGCAUAAGCCACUAUGUUGAUGGUGUGGAGAGUAACCAGUUACUUUUAGGCUAGUGGAUGUCUUCUAAUUCCCACAUAUAAUAAGAUGGGUGCUUCAAUUAUAGGCAUGCUCAAAGGAGAGGCAAAUAUAUCUUCUAAUUAGUAGUCAUCUGCAUGAUUGCAGAGAUUUUGAAAGAGGUUCUCUGCCAUUUUUUUUGGGCCAUUUGCAUGUGAUAAAGCAAGCAGUCCACCUACCAAGGUAAAGCCAUAUUGUAGUGGCCAGAGUUGUCUUCUUCCCACUCAAUGUCUUUGACCAACGCGUAAGUCCUCCCACCCCUGUUGUGUCAGUGUCAUCAAUGAUGAACUUUUGCAAAGGUGACUUUAAUGUUCUAAAGCAGUGACCUAUUAUAAAACCCAAACCCAUACAGGGUAACAGGAGAGGGGUCACAUUUGGCUGACCACCAUGAGACUGAAUGCGGUGUCAUCAAAUGACUUUUGAUGCUUGUUUCACCAAUCUGCUGAAGUUCUGCAGAUCCCUGUCCUAAUAAAUCCUAUACUAAGGCUUUCCAAGGGCUGAUAGGGUAUCAUGGAAGUUUCACAUGUAAUAUAAGUGGGUGCUGCUAUGUUACAUGUCUGCUUAGAAAGUCUUUGCCUCUUCUAGAAAUUGCAUGCACCUCUCCCAUCUUUUAAGAAAAACGCUAUGAUGAUUACAAAAAAUUAAAAAAAAGAAAAAAAAAAUACUGUGAUCAUGACCUUCAAAAAAGUAAAAUAAAAGAAACCUCAAUGCUCCCUUGUUUGUGGGACCAAGCAUCACAUACUGGUGGUCCUUGGAAGUCAGAAAAUGAUGUUUCUUGCAGGAAGAGGAGAGUAUAGAGAUUUUUUUAAAGGUUGUUAUCAUUGCACCGCUCAUGAAUUCAGUUUCCUAUGAAAGGUAUGCCUCCUUUUCCCUUAGUUACUUUUCUAUUAAUUUGUCAAAACCCAGCAAAAUAGAAGGUUAUUUUUGCUUAAAACAUUGGUAAUACUUCAGCUUCAAUGUCAACAUACAAGGGAAAAGUCUAUCAGCAUAGAGGAAUGGCUCAUAACAUGUAGGAAGUCUAAGGAGGUGACUAACCACACAGUCAAAGAGAUAAAUAGAUUUCAAAUAUGUUUUUAUGAGCCAUAAACAAGGCAAUAUUACAGAUAUUCAGAAUCUAAUAUACGAGUUCGACGAGCUACCUUUUGUCUGGUGGCCAGGAUAAAUUCUUUGCAAGUUGAAAAGAUAAUGCCGUGUAUGGGAGUUUUAACUUUCGGCAAGAACUUAGCCAUCUUAAAAUGUACUUAUUCCCUUCCCAAAAAGGAAAUCUUAUCAUAUCUUAGCAAUAUGUAGAGCAGUUUUCUCCUACAAGGAAACCAAAUCAGAAAAAGUUGCACAUAGUAUCUACUUUUUUUUUUCUUUUGAGGGAGAAAACUGGAGAAUCUUAACCUACAUUGGUUGAUUGAUCUUCUCCUAGAAGAGAAUACCUAUAUCAUUGAUUAAUACAAGAAGUUAGCACUCCAAGGUCUCAGUCACAAAGAUGGCAAACCUUGCUCAUUGGAAAUUUAUUGAACCCAUUGAGCGUGCUGAUGAAGUGAAAAGUGGAUUCUCUUAAGCAUGUUAUGAGGAGUGAAAACGGACUUGGUUCGCAGUCUGAUUCAGAAUUUCUGCACCACAAUGAGCAAGACUCCCACUUCCAGACCAAUAUCCAUACACAGCACACCCUCCCAUCAUUAGCUUCCUCCCUCGUUGCCUCUCCUUUACUUGGAAUUCUCACCUCCUCCUCAGCACUUUUGAAACAGUCCUCUCUUUUUCCCCCUCCUCUUCCUCCUCCUGUGACUUCAAAAAUCUUAUCUUUCCCCUUCCAAGUUCUUGGAAGCACCCCUCUACUAAGUCCAAAACAAAGCACAAUAGAAAAUAUCUUUUUAAGUCUAUCUCUACACAGAGAAGCCUCUAUGGAUAUGGUUCUUUGGUCUCUCCACAUCUUAUCCUCUUUCUGUUUCAUUCCUCUCCCUGUCUCUCCUAUUAAAAUCUGAGGUCUGGCCCAUUUUAGGCUCAUACCUAUUCCUGCGUCGACUACCACCAUCAAAGAACCUUUGGAGCUCUUCAGCAAAACAAAACAAAAAAAGAAAGAACCUUUGGAGCUCAGAAGGACACGGGGAGAAGUUUCUUUGCUGUGUCUCCAAUGCCAAAAACUGACCCACCUUAAAAUUCCUUCUUUUCUGAUUUGCUUUUGCUUCUCCGUUCCCCCCAUUGGAUUAAAGGCCAAAAGGUAUAACCUUUCCUUCUGGUUUCGAGGUAAAAACAGGCCCCAUUUUGAGUUUCAACUCCGUCUCUCCUAUUAUCUACCAGAAUUUUAUAACCUUUUUUAGCGGAAGAAUCAACAAUAGGCACUAAAAGAAAGUGUCUUUUGAACUCCACUGGCCUUUCUUCACCGAGAAUCCGAUGCCUGCUGCAAAAAAAGCUCAAAUUCUGUCAGGUAAAAGAGCACUACUCUUUGCUCUUAACUCAUCUCUAAUUUCGAGUCCAUGUUCUGCUCUCUUGUCAGAUAAAUAUUGAAUCCAAAUAGCCAAAAAACCAACAUUUAUCGCUCCAGUUCCUUCUUUUGCCACCAUUAUCAACGAGGCUUCAAACUCCAGAAGGUGAAAAACUAUUCUCUCUCUCUCUCUCCUCCCCCCCCCCCCCAAGCUAAUAUUUAUGUUGCACUUGUUUCAAAUUUCAACUCCAUUGCCUUCUUUUUCUUCUAAGUUUAAGCAUCAUUUUUCUCUAAACUAGAAUUAAAAACUAGUUAUUCUUGAGCUUCACUGGUGUUUGGCAGAAACUUGGGAGUCCUGUAGUAGUUAGAAUCAGAGAAGGUUAGAGAGUGGGGAAUGGACAACCAGCAGCCACACUCAUUUCCACAAGCUCCCUUCCACCACCUCCUCCAGCAGCAGCACCAGCAGCUCCAGAUGUUCUGGAACUACCAGCGCCAAGAGAUCGAGCACGCCACUGACUUCAAGAACCAUCAGCUCCCCCUCGCCCGCAUCAAAAAGAUCAUGAAAGCUGAUGAAGAUGUUAGAAUGAUAUCGGCCGAGGCUCCCAUCCUCUUUGCCAAGGCCUGCGAGCUCUUCAUUCUUGAGCUCACCAUCCGGUCUUGGCUCCACGCCGAGGAGAACAAGCGGCGGACCCUGCAGAAGAAUGACAUUGCCGCGGCGAUCACGAGGACUGAUAUAUUUGACUUCCUUGUGGACAUUGUUCCACGAGAUGAGAUCAAGGAGGAGGGGCUGGGACUGGUGGCAGGUGGCAGUGGUGAUGCUGCUCCUGGGGUGCCAUACUACUAUCCUCCAAUGGGGCAGGCUGGGUCAGGUGUGAUGAUGGGGCAGCCAGCAGUGGCUGGGAUUGAUCCAUCAAUGUACAUGCAUCGCUCGGCGCAAGCUUGGCAGCCGAUGUGGCAGCAGGGGCUGGCGGAGGAUGGGUCAUAUAGUGGAGAGGGUCAGGAUUUUGAUGGGCAGGGCUAUAUUGCUCAUCCUCCUCCCCCUCCCCCACCUCCACCCAGUUCUUAGCUGAGACAAGGAAUGGAGAAAAGGAACAGAUAUUUCAUAUUGUUUCAAGUGCUUUUCAUUGAGAUUCUGAAUCUGCAGAUGCAAUUUAUGUGACGUUGGCUGUGAUUUUUAAACUUUGAAAUCAUGUCACUUAAUUGUUAUGAAUUGCUGGAAUGAAUUGUUCUUUCUAUGAUAAGUUUCUGAUUUUGUGUCAUCCUCCUCCUCUUUUAUGUUCAGUUUUAAAACCUGUAGCUCGGUAUCUUUUACUUAUAUGAAGAAGGAAAUGUUUGUUCUGAUUCAAGCUUUCAUAUUAUGUCAUAUAAUUAGUAUGAAUUGAGAAAACAGGCUCUUAUUUCUACAGUCCAGUUUACAGUCUAAUGUUAUGAUAUCUUGUUUCCACUUGUCUUAUUAAAAUAAGAGGCAAGAUCUUUCUGUUGAAUUUCUCUCUGCAUAAGUUUUGGUUUCAAAUGAGAGACAGUCACUUGAAAUUUAUGCUUUCUUCUUCCAAGUGAUAUACUUCGCUCUCUGUAUUGUCUUGAUGCUGAAUUUUCAUUUUUGACCUCUGAUCUCAUCUCCCUUUCCUUUUAAGCUUUAUGUCAUCUCAUUAUAAUUUGCAAGAGUGAGGAAUUGGAAAAGGAGAGGAGUCUGGUGUGCAACUACUAGUCUAAUGUGUCUGAAAGUGUGCUUUUGCCUGCUUUUUCAGAAAAAAGUCUAAUGUGGAUUAAAUACAGUUACCCUUAUGUCAUAUGAAAGAUGAAAUGCUGUUAUAGCUUGGAAGUUGAUUUAUCUGAAAGUGCUAUUUACUUUCAUCGGUAUAGAGGCUUUUUCUUUGCUACUUCACUGUACGCAUUCAUUUAAAGUUGAUUCUUCUUGUAGUUUAUUUUGAAUGGCUGGCUAAGAUGUUUUCAUCUGACUAAAUAUUCAUAGAGAAAGCUUUGCAGUUAUAUCGUUUUAUUUGAAUGAAUAAAAAAAUAAAUAUAAUUUCAAUCGAGAAAAACUUCCCUUUCGUUAUCUGCCAUUAGAACGACAAUCUCAGAGAACAAUCAAAUUAUUACUAUACUGCAGAUAUUGAUCUAGGCAGAACUCAGCUACCUUACAUAAUGCUGAAGCUACACAAGGAUUUUACAGCUUAGUGCUUGCACAUGAACAGUGCAGGAGAAGCCAUAGUACUGGAAUCUCUUAAAAAGCCCGGGCCCAUUAUCAGACCUAGCACAAAGUUGCCAUUGAUGGGACUAAAGUGAGGUCAAAUAUUCUAUAUGGAGAAUGAUAAUUUAGGAUAUAAUACCUGUUCUAACUUUGAUGAACAAUUAACUGCACUGGAUAUUAUACAAAACUGGAAAUGUAAAUUCUUUUGUUGAAUCAUGCAAAACUGGAAUGCACAGUCCUAAAGUCAAUGGUAAAAGUUAUUUUUCUUCCUAGGAUAUUUACCUGUUUUAACUUGGACGAAUAAUUAAUUACACUGAGGAUUUCCCUAAGUCCAUCGAGGAAAUAAAAAUUUUGGCAAUGCAAAAUUCUUCCAUUGAAUUAUAUAAUACCAGAACGCACAGUUCUAGCCUGACACAAUUAUGAGAAGUUCUACGACUGAAUAGCAGUCAUGGAAGUAGCAGGAUCCAAACUAGUUUAAGCUGUGGAAGUUAAAUGGCUGAGGAAACAUGGGGACAGUAUGCAUAUACAAAUUAGUUUAAGGAUAUUGUGUUAAGUCUAAUAUCAUAUUUUAUUCAAAACCUGUAUAAGAUCAUAACUGAUAUAUAGUCUCAGAAUGAUUCGGAUUGGUGAAUAAUGGAACAGGCCAUAGAAGCUAUAUGAAUACUUAUAAAGUCAAAUCCCAACUUUUGGCUAGUUUAUGUGGUAGAAUUUAAUCAUUAAGCAUUGAAACUAUAAGCAUGUCAAAGUCAUAAGCAUGUGCAGGCAUGUAAUUCAUCACCUGGUCAUGGCAUAUCUGCUGAAAUAUCUUCAUUUAAGAGCUAGACCAUAAAUGCUGCGUUGACAAUCCCAUGGAUAGCUGAGAAACAUCUUGAAAUGAAAAACGAUAAAUCCUUAAUACAUUUCUGUAAUUGAAGAAGCACUUUGCUUCCAACCCCAGUCACUUCCAUUUGAUGAUUUAGAUAAAAGUGACAUGCAAAAAGCAGCAUUAUUGCUGUUGAUGAUAAAAUGAAAAGAGACACUCUUUCACUCAUGGGCAUUAAUAUCUCGCGUGAUCUCUUUCACAAAGAUGACUGAGAUACUUUCUAAGCCUUAAGCAAGCACUCAUAUGGAUCACAAUAGUUUAGAAUGUGGAAUCUUUCCUUGAAUUGCAUAGCCAUUAUUCUCACUGGUAGCCAUUUGACUGUGCAUGUCCAUAUUUAAAGUAUGAAACUUCCAACUUCGAAGCAAUAAAAUGAACUUUCUGUUGAGCUGUCGAAAUAUGUACAUGCAUACCAUACUACAAAAUGCAAAAUAGAAACACAAGAAGACUUGAGUUUACUUCCACUAUCAUAAUAAUUGUGGGAUGAAAAAACAUGCUGGCUCAAUUUAGUUUCUUUGCUUGUAACUUUUAAAACACAUUUAGAAGUGGUAAGAUUGGAAAUAUGAUUUGGCAUCACUUAAUGAUGUAUCACUGUAGUUAUAGGUGUCUAGGUUGCUCCAAAACAUGGAUUGAUUGUAAAAAUAUCAGAAAUAUAUCCUUAAUCUUUGCAGCUGAAGCAGUCCAGCACCUUUUAGGGACAGCUCCACUAUUCUCACUUUUUUUGUUUCUUCUCUUUGGGUUCAUCUCCAGUUUUUGUUGUGUUCUAGUUACAACAGAACUCUCAGACCUCUCUUCGAUGCCAUGCAUGCAACCACACCUACUUUGCUGCUAUAGAAUGACCAUGGAUUCAAACAAUCAAAUGCUGAUGGCUCCAAAAUUUAAUUUGAACCAUGUCUCUUUGAGGGGAAGAUUUUAAUUUAAGCCUUGGCUUCUGUGGUGACAAAAGUUGGGAGACUGGAUUAAGAUUUCCAAUGUUCCUGUCAAGGUUGGAAGGCGCCAAUAAUGGAGAACUCCAGAUUAAGAACAUACCAUCUCUGCUGGAGAACUCCUGCAUCAGUGAGGACGCAUCGGAGAGAUAAAUUGUUGAGCAUUUGUUCAGGUCCUUCGUGUCUAAUCACCCUGUUAUCUUAUUCAUGAGAUAUCUUUUCUGAAGAUGGGAAUUUGCUAAGUAAACGAGGCAAAGGGAGAGUGGCCAGAAGAAUUGAAGCAGCCAUUGCUUCUCCAUUCCUGAAUAUUUGGGAUGAUAAACUCUAGUUAAAAAAUGUUAUUUCCAACACCCAGAUAAUCUGAGGAUAAGAGAUUGUAUCCUGUACUUGGUAAGAGAUCACAACCUCCUCUUGGGGUCCCUAUCGCAUUGACAUCUUGGAUUUGUGAGAGGAGGGAUUAGAAUUUCUUUUUUUUGAAUUUUUCCAACAACUGAUUGAAUCCAAUCCUUGGUUAGAGUUUGCAAACCCUCUGAUCAGAGCCUCCAUCCUCGCAUGGCUGAAUUUCUAAAUUAGAAGAGUUCUGUUUGAUAUUUUUACUUACUGAGUUCAGGAUAUUUUGUAGUCGAGUGGAGUAGUUUGAAAAAGUUCUCAAAAAAAAAGAAAAAAGAAUAAUUGUUUAAAAAAGUGACUGACAAAAUUUAAAUAAAAUAUUCUAAAAUUCAAAACUCUUAUUCUUGUAAUAUAAUAUAGAUAAGUGGACAAAAAAAUAUAUAUAAAGAGAUAUGGAGAGAAUCGAAGGACAGUGAGGCCACUGCUAUCCAUUACCGAGUGUUUUGGAAUAUACUGAAAUUAAGCUAAACCGGUGACUUCCAAUAUCCAGAUAGCCUUGGGUUUAUGGGAUAACCCCCACCAACCCUCCAAUAUAACAUCCUCCCACCCUACCAUUCCCACCUUUCACCUCUGUGUGAAAUCUCACACUGAUAAGCUGCCUAGCCACCCCAAUAGGCCCUCAAAAGUUGCAAACAACCAGAAGGUGAUUUAGGCUAUGUUCUUGUAACUCAUACGACGUCCUAGUUAUGAAUCUGUUCAUUUCGUCACCAAGGUUUUGGACUGUUUAAAUCAUGGAAAAGGUCCUUGGAUGAGUUAUGGAACAAUUGAAUUUUCCACUCUUUAAAGUUUGAUGAUAGGAAAGUAAUCUAGAAGCGAGUCUUGCAAAACCAAGGAACAUUCUUUUCCUUUCCAAGGAUUUCUGAACAACCAAAAAGAACCUUAACAAUGACUCUUUUCAGAUCAGAACCAAACAACUCAGUACUAACAAGAGAGAACAAAAGCUGAAGCUACAAACAAGACGGUCUAAUGAAGUGGAAGACAGCAAAAGUUUUCGCUUCCUCUGAACCAUCAUGGAAGCAGGACCACGAGCAAACCUUGGAACCCUUCACAGAACCCCCUUAAACAUCGCUGAUGAUCCAAGGCUCCUGCAUUAUGGAAGAUGAUUGAGAGGCCACCAAAGUUUCAUUUUCAGAUAAUAGUCUAUCUGUAUUCCACCAAGACCAAGCUCAGCCACACGCCCAAGGUAUCCCUCAUCUUUUUCUUUUUAUGCUUUCUUUGCACAAGGCUAAAGAGGUAAACAUCCUAAUGCCCCCACUUGACAGCAUCAAAAUGCAAGUUGAACAGAUUAUUUUUUCCAGGUAGGAAGGAAAUAAAAGGGUGACAGUGCUAAAAAAUAGAAUAGUGGUCUGAUCAAAAUUAACAUGCUUCAAUAUUUCUAAAAGCCCAAGGCAGCAGGAUAUAAAAGUCUUGCAUAUAACCAUGCUUCCAAGUAGAGAUGCAGGACAGUAUUUGCAGCCUAUGGUAUUGUGCCACUACUACAUCUAGAUUAAGAUCCAAAGACCAACCUAAACAUAACAUUAAACAGCCAAUGUGCCCCUCUCAUCUAUCAAAUCAUAAAAAGCUACAGAUGUGCUUUUAAUUGGGUCUACCAUGCACAAAUCUAGAUUUCAGGGCAGCACCAUCAUGCCCCUUCUGCAAGAGUCCUUUUUGAGGUGCUGAUAUAGAGAACUGCAUCCACAAGAGAGGAAAACAAAAUUCAAACCACAUUCGCCAGAAAAAUACAGUAAAGAACACGGAUGAUGUAGAAUUAGAGAGGAUACCAUUAUUUCCUCUGAUAAAAGCAUCCCCAUAUUUGUUCUUAAGUUGACCGUUGACAUAUUCUUCUGUUUGUUCCAUUGCAAUAUUCAUAUAUCCAUCCAAACAAGCUAGAAUACCUGCAUGAGAAGCAUAUGAUUGCUAAACAAGAGGAUCCAGGAAGAGCAUACAGUUUUCAGAAGAUCUAGGAUAUAACUGCUCAAGUGAUGGCAUUGGUGCAAUUGCGCAUUGACAAGUUCAUCGGUAGGUAAUAUAGUUUGUGAUUCUACAAAUAUAAACUGGGUCAAUCACUUGACAUAAAGGCUUGAUUUUUGCUGGGUGCAUGGAACAAAGGAGAGAAUUCAUUAUAAUCAGUAAAGGCUGGGAAGAAAAUUCCCAAAAAAAAAGAAAGAUGAAAUGGUAUUUAACAUAAAAUUACUAAUAAUUUAUUGUUAUUGGUUCCACAAUACUGAAUGGUACAAACUUAAAAAUUCAGCUGUCUGGAAAACAGCAGGUUGUAAGAAUUAAGACAACCACGACAUAGAUACUAAUUCCAUCCCAAAGGUAUGGUGCUAAGUUGCAUCAAGGGAUGCUGGAUUUAUUCUGAUAUGAGAUGCUCUGCACUGAAUAGGUAUCACAGUUAGUCAGCGCAUAUAUUAAUCUAUCUUGAUAUCCUUCUUUUGGGAUUUUUUUUUCCUUCUGGUUGGGAUAAGUUGUACAGCAUCCACGAAUGCAUUCCAAAUGGAUAAAGACCAAAUGAGAAAUCUAACAUAGAGGGCUUUCUUUCGUUUUCUUCUUCCUUUCUUUUUUCCAAAUUUUUGUCUGAUGAGGAUAUAUUUGAAAUAAAGGAACAAGAACAUAAUGCCACAUAGGGUAGAAUCCAUGGAAGUAAACAUUAAGGGCCACAACCUUAGAAAGAUCACCUGGCGAAAGAUUGGCUAAGAAAAUUGGCAAAAAGGAUAUAUAUAUAUAUAUAUAUACACAUGACAUCUUCACAAUAAUGUCAAGCUACCAGUGUCUCAUAGGCCCACUGACCCAAGAUGUCAUUUCGUUACUCCUCCAACUAUUAGUGGGAAAGUGAAAGAGCUUGCAUGGUCUUAAGCAAAUAAAUGAGGCCAUCACAUAAGCCUCAAUCAAAUAAAGGACUAACUUAAAAGCAAGAUGAACAUUGUCAUAUAAAAAUCUAACUGACAAAGCUGGAGGGGCCCAAACAACUAAAAGAGUCCUCAACAAAGCUGGCAAGUUGAAAUUUUGGUUUAAGGUUAUGUAUAAUGGGUCGAUAACAACAAAUUUCCUUCCAAGUUCUAUGCCAACUCAGAAAACAGAAUCUAGCUUCGUUGUAUUGAUCUUUAUAUGAGUUUUUUCUAUUGAAGAGGAAGCUGUAAUUAUCGGCAAUCUCCAUGUAUCCCUUGUUAGAUUUUCUUGAUAUUUCCUAUUAGUAUUGAUAGAGCUAUAGAGAAUUUCUUGAGCCUCUAGGUUGGAAGUCGAGAAAGAGACCUCCUUUUAUGUGGUUAUGCUUUUGGCAGGCCUCCACUGGUUUUGACUGUUUUAAGAACUUCUUCCAUGUUUUCAACCCUUUCUAUGCAUUUUUUUAGUCUAGGUUGCUCUACAUGUUUCUUUCCUUCAAAUCCUUCUGUCACAAUCAAGAGGCAAAGGAGUGGUACCUUGGCUUGGCCCAUUCCAAUUACAAACUCCAAAAUGCUUAAUCUGAGAAGUCUUGGAAAGAUUCUAUUACUCACCUCACUUGGUGAUGAUGGGCCAAGAUGUGUGGCUGGCAGGAGCGAUCCUGGCUCAUUGAUUGACCCAGAAGAUGGUUUUGGUAGAAUCCCAAUUACUUACACUAGUUUGGACUCGCAAGGAUCAGUUUUGGGUCUAACAUUCACCUUUAUCUGUGGUGCAGAGUGAGGCGGUAAGUUCUAGAAUGGCUGCCCAAUGAAUUUAUGAUUUCCUUCAUAAAGAGUUGAUGUUCCUGAGCUUAACGGAAAUCUCAGAAGUCAAGAUGUCAGCAUCCACAUUUGAUGCCUUAUAUCCGACCAGAGUAUGAAACUUGACAGGUUGGGUUGGGGCCAAGGGUGGCCAAGGAGGAGCAGGCCUUAAUUCUCAUGAUAACCACUUGCCCAUGGUGGCCAAGGAGGUGUCAAAUUAGUCCUCAGUCAUAUAUGUUCACCAGGGAUGCCAAAAGAAAAUUCACCAUUCUUUAUGUAUUCAAUGUAAUCAUGGCCAAAUUUAGCACAUUUUGUCUAUUUUCAUCACAUGUCUAGAUAAAACAGUAAUUCGAGCAUUAGGCCAUAAUAUGAAUGAAGAGAUAUGCUCCUUGAAGAGAUACGUUAUUUACACUUUAUUUAGAGUUGUUAAACUUCAAGGACGACCAUCCCUCUGACCUCGAAAAUGAUCAUGUUCUCUAUAAAAAUGUUGGAAAAUGUUUUGCUUGAAAUCUUGGCAAUCAUAAUGGACCAAAAUUGUUGUAUCUUUAAUGUUUCAUAAGACAGCCUCAGCAUAUCGAUAACUGACUUGUGCAAAGCCAAAUAUGAUCAGUGCUCUCAUGACUUUGGACUAAAAAAUGAUUUGAAUGAUAAACCCUUUUAUCCUUCAUGGUGAAGUUGGAAGGUUACCUGCAAGGAUACCAAAGGGAAAAUGUGUGAUUUUUUGGUUAAACAAUAAACUGUAUAUGCCAAUGCUAGCUUGGCUCAACACAAUGGAGGAGUCCAAAGAUCUCUCCCAUUAAGAUCUCCUCUUAUAACAAGAAAAAUUUAUUAAUUCCACUCUGAUGCUCAGGCACUAGCUCUGGUUUCUUUUUGCUCUCUGACAAGAUUCCAUGGUCAAUUCAUAAAAACUACUCAACAAUACAAAAGCAGCCUGAGAUAGCUAGAAGCCUAAACUAAACUUGACCUUCUAAUUACUUGUACGUAUAUAGACCCAUCCUGACACAAAUUUCCUACCAAGAUCCAAAAAAAAGUGGACUACAAACCAACUCCUACUCCUAUCUUUAAUGACUGCCAGCAAACUCACUAACUUUUUGCCUUUGAACUAACACUUUCUCAGAUUGGAUUUUUCCAGCUUCAUCUUAAUUCAGAUCCUUCCAAAUUCAUUUAAAAAUGAAGUACAAAGCUAGCAUAAACACAAAAAUAUAGCUCUCAAUAGGAAGGGAGCAAAGAAGGAUGCAUAAAGGUGAACCCUCAUCAAUGAGAUAAAGUUUGUUGUUUAUGGAUUCAGGCUUAUAAUUUUUGUUUAAAAGGAAAUGAUUUCAGAUAGAGUAGGAAAAAUAUCCCAAAACAUAUAAACAACAAACAGAAUCCAUAUUAAUGGAGAAGAACAAACAGGACCAUCAUUCUUAUACUGAUGGAGGAGAACAAACAGGACGGAUGCAUGUGGAAACAAUAGUCUUUAGAUAUGAGAAGGCUAUGAAACUACUAGACAUAGUACCAUGAAAGAAGUAGAAGAGUUCAGCUCAAGGUUGCCAGAAUCGUCCCGAACCAGGCAGUUCCGGUCGUACUGAGCCACUCCGGCGGCAGACUGGAAUGGUUCCGGCAACGAAAACGAAAUCCGUUGCCGAAGCAGGAGAAGGAGAAGAAAAUAAAAAAAAGAGAGAGCGAGCGGAGAGGGAGGGAGAGGGGGAGGAAGAGAGAGGGAGGUGAAGGCCAAAGAGAGAGAGAGGUGAAGGCCAGCUGGCGAGACGCGCGAAGGACGCUCCUUUAGGCUCUACAGCCGAAAAACAGGUCGGGUCACCGGCCUCCAACGGCCCUCCGCACUUCCCUCUCUCCCCCUUCUCUCUCUCUUUUUCUCUCUCUCAUUCGCCCUCUCCCCCGUCUCCUCUAUUGUGUUGGUACAGGCCCGACACGACACGACACGACACGGCCCAUACCAACCCGUGCCGCCGGAAAACUAGGCCGGGGCCCGAUACUGGCGCAGCAGACCAUGGUUCAAUUGAAGGAUAGCCCGAAUGAAACCAGCCCACAAAUGUUGAGGACUUAGUCUUGGUGCUUAUUCUUGAUUUCUAACAUGCAUCAACACAAAUAGCACAUAUAUAUGAUAAUAAAGUCACACUUUUGAACAUCAUUUGAUAGCAUGAAAAUUAGCAAAGAAAAAAUUGGAGAGGAUGUAUACAUUGGGAAUAGUCCAUCUCAACCACAUAUACAUCUUGUUAAAAGAGAAUAAACCUUAAGAAUCUAACAAUCACAUAAUCCUGUCAUAGAAUUAAAUUCGAAUGCCUUAAUAUGACAUUAUGGGUAAGGGUAAUAGGAUAUUGACUUAGUCAAUUAGAAGAUGUAUCGUAAGUUCCAUCUAAGCAGUAAGACAAGGCUUGUAUGAUAUGCCAAAAAAUGUAGUGAACCAAAGAAACUGAACGAUGGGAAAGUGUCAUGUUGUCAGACAAGUUAGGAUAGUGGGAAAUGAGGUCAGUUUCUAAAAAGCAGUUGUGGAAGGCUAAUUCACAUUGAGAAAGGACACUACAACCAGACUUUCUUAGGUGUGGAAGGAUACAUAUAUAAGCCAUCACAAAUUAAUUAGUAAAUGGUGUAGAAGUACUAAUGAGGAACGAUAAUAUGUGGUGCACGGACCCCUCCUGUAAUGAUGCAAAUCAUUACUUACCAGUAAAAGCAAUAUGGGCCUUGUGAAUGAGGAAAAACCAUUGAGAGGUUAAUACAGUCAAGCUAGUGGGUAUUAUUGGCAUGCUUCAGCUUAACCAUGUUAGAAUUUGAAGCAAUAAGUAUAAAAAAGUAAUGAAGCUGAAGUUGUAAGGCAGUUUCUCAACAAAUUCAUAAUAAUGCUUAUCAAUUGAACAAGAGAUUAAAGAUCUCCACGGCCACAAGCAUUCGAAACAGAUAACUUUAAUUAGAACCCAGGCCUUUAUAUAAGUUGUUCAUGGAAAGGAGACAUAUCCUUGAUCAAUUGCAAAGCAAAAUGCCCUCUUUAUAAUCCAACAGUUCCCUGCAAAGUAUACUAGUAUUGGUUGCUAAGACUCGUUUCUUGAUUAGGUUGUGUUUACAACUACAGAUCCUAGUGUGAAGGAGGAUGUAAAAUACCAUGAAAAGCAACAUACAUUUGAGUGAAAGCAAGAUAGCAUUUUGAACAUGAAAAAACAUAAACACUGAGAGAAUAUGGCAAUGGACAUUUCUAAAAAUGUUCCAGAUAGGAUAAGGGUUGUUCUGCUACACAAUAUAGGAAUCUAGCUUUUGCAGAUCUUGCAAAAGCAUCAAGCAAUCCUAUGAAAUUUAAUCUAGGAGCCAUCAAUCUUGCUAUAUGAUCAUCCAUCAAUCUUAUCUUUUACUACAAAUAAAAUAUGGUUAAAAAAGGAUUGAGAAGCAUACAUCCCCCAAAUUGUUGUCACAUGCUUUUCAAAUUCAUACUCCUCCCUCCUCGAUUUACUGUUUGCAUGCCCUGUGCCAUAGUCAUCUCUAGCUAGAGGCAACCUUCGAGCCUUUAUUUGCCAAAACGGUAUAGACAUAGGUUCACCACCUUGAAAUCUUCUAGGAAUCCUGUCUACUUUCGCACUUCAGGAGGAACGUACUUCUAUAUAUCCAACUCUAAUGACCCUUCAUAUCCUCAGAGGAAUAACAUUAAAGUUUUUAAGUGAUUAAGAGACAAGUUUAUGUCCCUUCCUAUCCAAGUCAUACAUGAAUGUAAAAGUGGAAACUACAGAAGGUGGAGUUCAAUGCUGGAAA